GACGAACGCUGGCGGCGUGCCUAACACAUGCAAGUCGAACGGAGAAGUUCAGCAAUGGAUUUCUUAGUGGCGAACGGGUGAGUAACGCGUAGACAACCUGCCUCUACGCUGGGGACAACAACUCGAAAGGGUUGCUAAUACCGAAUGUGAACAGUGCCUCGCAUGAGAUGCUGUUUGAAGGUGGCCUCUGAAUAUGCUACCGCUUAGAGAUGGGUCUGCGUCUGAUUAGCGAGUUGGAGGGGUAAUGGCCCACCAAGGCGACGAUCAGUAGCCGGUCUGAGAGGAUGAACGGCCACACUGGGACUGAGACACGGCCCAGACUCCUACGGGAGGCAGCAGUGGGGAAUCUUCCGCAAUGGACGAAAGUCUGACGGAGCAACGCCGCGUGAGUGAAGAAGGCCCUCGGGUCGUAAAGCUCUGUCUUCAGGGACGAAUGUGCAGAUUGUGAAUAAUGGUUUGUAAUGACGGUACCUGAGGAGGAAGCCACGGCUAACUACGUGCCAGCCGCCGCGGUAA
rnacentral:rRNA from 1 species